GUAUAUGCUUAUAUCAUAGUGUUAAUGCAUCCAUUAGAACUCCUCAAUUAAGUGUGCUCGGGCUAAAGUAGUACUAGCACGGGUGACUUCACGGGAAGUCUUAGUAUUUUACAUG
rnacentral:rRNA from 1 species